GAAUCCAUUUUAAAAAUACAUAACAAGCACCGCUUCAUGGCAGUAAUGUUGAACAGAACAUACUUGGAAACGCUGUCAUAGAAACCAGUGAUAUGUGCAAUUUCUUUCCAAAUUCUCGUAUAACCUUUAAAAAAUCUAUAUUAAAACUGAGCAUAGACUAAAUUAUUUCCCUGUAGAUGAAAUCAUCUUCCAUUUGAUGACAUACACUAUAUAGCAUGGCUUGAUAAUCUCAGUUAAAGCAUACAAUUAAGAUUUAAGUUUUCACGUUUCUUGUUUUUAAUUUUGUAAUUCUCACAAGACCUAAGGAAGCAAAGGUCAUUUAUUUAUUGAGUCACUAAAUCUAAUUAUGUCUAUUAUUCUUAAAAACUCCAUGGUAACUCACAAAACCAGAAAGACUGGUUCACAUAGAUCCCAUACUUGAAUAGCUUAUUAUUGUAGCAGAACUCAGAACACUGCCUUGCUUAAGAAGCUGUCAGAAUUUCUAUUCAUUUCAAGAGCUUAUAAAUUAACUAUGGGAAUAUUUCUGGCUGAACUAUGGAGUGCUUGAUUCUGUAAGCCUCAAUAUCUUCAAUAUCUAUUGCAGUUUUCUGUUAAUACUUUUAACCUUCAUCUACCUUUAUUAUAGACUUAUAUUUUGAAGAAAUGUCCAUUGCUCAAAAAUUGUUUUAAAAUAGGUGGGUAAAGAUCAACCAUGUUCACCUUUAACUUGAUUUUGACAAUUGGAAAUAUUUGUAAAAGUUAAAAAAAAUUGAUGUGUCAAAUAUGUGCACUUUCAUUGAACCUGUUUUUCUAAUCUCAUAUUGAAUAUAUUGACUCUUCAUGAAAACUAUAAAAAUAUAAUGUGGAAACAGAGUAUGUUAAACACAAAUUGAUCAAAACAACGUUUUGUUUGAGGGAAACAUAUGUUCUGAGGACAGGAAAGACCUCAUAGUAUUUGAGAGAUCACUUGGUGGAUUAUGAACACUCAAAUACAUGAAGCUCCAUCUUAUCAAAUGAAUGCUAAAGAUGCUUUCUCCUCAACGUCGUGACUUGAACCAUCUGUUGACAUCACACCAUUAUGGAAAAAAUAACAUCUUACUAAGGAGAGAAAAGCAGAAGGAGUACUUCAAGUAAAUGAUUAAAAUACUUCUCCUUACAGACACCA
rnacentral:lncRNA from 1 species